GAUGAAGAACGUAGCGAAAUGCGAUAAGUAAUGUGAAUUGCAGAAUUCAGUGAAUCAUCGAAUCUUUGAACGCACCUUGCGCCCUUUGGUAUUCCGAAGGGCACGCCUGUUUGAGUGUCAUGUUCAUCUCAAUCCAACAGCUUUGCGGCUUGCUUGGAUUGGAUUUGGGAGUCUGCUGGUCCUUCAUUGGAUCGGCUCUCCUUGAAUGCAUGAGUGAGUAUCUGGCUCGCGUUGCUAGUGUGAUAGUCUUUCAUCAUUGGCGGCGCUUGCCUAAUGGGCUUGCUUUCGAACCGUCUUCUCAACGGAGACAAUCUUUGACAAAUUUGACCUCAAAUCAGGUGGGACUACCCGCUGAACUUAAGCAUAUCAAUAAGCGGAGGA
rnacentral:misc_RNA from 1 species